rnacentral:rRNA from 1 species
UACAGAGGGGGCAAGCGUUGUUCGGAAUUACUGGGCGUAAAGGGCGCGUAGGCGGCCCGCUAAGUCGAACGUGAAAUCCCCGAGCUCAACUCGGGAACUGCGUCCGAUACUGGCGGGCUUGAAUCCGGGAGAGGGAUGCGGAAUUCCGGGUGUAGCGGUGAAAUGCGUAGAUAUCUGGAGGAACACCGGUGGCGAAGGCGGCAUCCUGGACCGGCAUUGACGCUGAGGCGCGAAAGCUAGGGGAGCAAACGGGG